CCAGGUGUGGAGCCUGCGGCUUAAUUUGACUCAACACGGGGAAACUCACCAGGUCCAGACACGACAAGGAUUGACAGAUUGAUAGCUCUUUCUUGAUUUCGUGGUUGGUGGUGCAUGGCCGUUCUUAGUUGGUGGAGUGAUUUGUCUGGUUAAUUCCGAUAACGAACGAGACCUUAACCUGCUAAAUAGCCCGGCCGGCUUUGGCUGGUCGCUGGCUUCUUAGAGGGA
rnacentral:rRNA from 1 species